AUAUUAUCUUUCCCUACAAACCUUGUCCUUGAUUAUUUUAGACGCUCGUAGCUACCGAAGCACUAUGACUCUCUGCCAACCUGGCCAUUAAACACGGAGCAAGCGGUCCUGACUUAGCUCACUAAAACUCUUUGAUUUUUCUGCAUCAUUUGAUUCGGUCCAGACCAGAAAAAAAAAUUCACUUCAGCUCUUUAUUUCUGCAACAGAAAUGAUUUGUGGGAUUAGAGAACUCUUGCUAUCGCUCCGAUUUCAGCUUCUUUCCCGGUAAGUGUCAUCCGUUUCCUUAUCAAGACGGUUUUGUGGCUGAAGGUUUUGGAGAUGAAAAUCGGGAGACUGUUCCAGGAACGCCAGAGCCCGGCGCGGAGCCCCGUGUUUGGAACGUGUGGCGGCUGGACGCAUUCCUCACGGACGCGGUAAUGCUCCGGCAGCGCCGCCUGCGCCGCGGCACAGGGGGAGUUCGCUCUUCUUCGAGCCCUUUCGGAGAAAAGUGAUAUACCAAAGGGCAUAUUCGAACAAAGACAUUCACCAUCCAGGCCUGAGUGAUCCCAAAAUGUGGCUCCCUGCGAUGCUGCUCUGGCGACUUCCAACCGAAGCGGGCAGAGGCACCCCAGCCCCGCGCGGUGGGACGAUGAGCCCAGCGUCCUGCAAACCCUGCAGCCCCGCAGCUCUCCUCCCGGGAUCGCGUCCCCUCAGGGAUUUCCCCUUUGGGAAUCCGUGGGAGAAAGAAAAUGGGAACUACAGCGCUUCCAAUAAACUUUUAUAAUUGA